rfam:Parcubacteria (Thrbacteria) bacterium GW2011_GWC2_53_7 TY82_C0052, whole genome shotgun sequence.
GCGGGUGUAGUUCAAUGGUAGAAUGUAAGCUUCCCAAGCUUGAGACAGGGGUUCGAUUCCCCUUACCCGCU